UACGUAGGUGGCAAGCGUUGUCCGGAAUUACUGGGUGUAAAGGGAGCGUAGGCGGGGAUGCAAGUUGGAUGUUUAAACUAUCGGCUUAACCGGUAAUCGCAUUCAAAACUGCAACUCUUGAGUGAAGUAGAGGCAGGCGGAAUUCCUAGUGUAGCGGUGAAAUGCGUAGAUAUUAGGAGGAACACCAGUGGCGAAGGCGGCCUGCUGGGCUUUAACUGACGCUGAGGCUCGAAAGCGUGGGUAGCAAACAGG
rnacentral:rRNA from 1 species